rnacentral:rRNA from 1 species
UACGUAGGGCGCAAGCGUUAUCCGGAAUUACUGGGCGUAAAGCGCACGUAGGCGGCUUUGUAAGUUAGAGGUGAAAGCCCGGGGCUCAACUCCGGAAUUGCCUUUAAGACUGCAUCGCUAGAAUUGUGGAGAGGUAAGUGGAAUUCCGAGUGUAGAGGUGAAAUUCGUAGAUAUUCGGAAGAACACCAGUGGCGAAGGCGACUUACUGGACACAUAUUGACGCUGAGGUGCGAAAGCGUGGGGAGCAACAGG